rnacentral:rRNA from 1 species
CCUACGGGAGGCAGCAGUGGGGAAUAUUGGACAAUGGGCGAAAGCCUGAUCCAGCCAUGCCGCGUGUGUGAAGAAGGCCUUCGGGUUGUAAAGCACUUUCAGUGGGGAAGAAAGCCUUGGGGCUAAUACCCUCGAGGAAGGACAUCACCCACAGAAGAAGCACCGGCUAACUCCGUGCCAGCAGCCGCGGUAAUACGGAGGGUGCGAGCGUUAAUCGGAAUUACUGGGCGUAAAGCGCGCGUAGGCGGUCUGAUAAGCCGGUUGUGAAAGCCCCGGGCUCAACCUGGGAACGGCAUCCGGAACUGUCAGGCUAGAGUGCAGGAGAGGAAGGUAGAAUUCCCGGGGUAGCGGUGAAAUGCGUAGAGAUCGGGAGGAAGACCAGUGGCGAAGGCGGCAUUCUGGACUGACACUGACGCUGAGGUGCGAAAGCGUGGGUAGCAAACAGGAUUAGAUACCCCAGUAGUC